rnacentral:rRNA from 1 species
GUGGAGUGCGCCAAGGGGGGAGGCUCAGCGGCAUGAGCUCGGCUUUGAGGCCAACCGCGCAAGCGGUCUGGUACCCGGGUCGGGGGAGUGUUGUUUGGGCUGAGUGUUCGCUUGGGCACUGGUUUCGGGCCCGGGUGGGUGCCGAGCUGGCGGUGGACGGCGGUCGCGUGCGACACAUGUCUUCAGUCAGUUCGGUCCUGCUCGAGCUCUCGCGUGUCCGGCCUCGGUGUAAAAGCCGGUCAUCUGUCCGACCCGUCUUGAAACACGGACCAAGGAGUUUAGCGUGUGCGCGAGUCAUUGGGCGUUAAAAACCCAAAGGCGCAAUGAAAGUGAAGGUCUGCCUUGUGCAGCUGAAGUGUGAUCCUGGGCGCCGCGAUGCCCGGGCGCCACAUAUUCCCGACCCGACUGC